rnacentral:rRNA from 1 species
UUUCCGGUUGAUCCUGCCGGAGGCCACUGCUAUCGGGGUUCGAUUUAGCCAUGCGAGUCGAGAGGGUUUAGACCCUCGGCGGACUGCUCAGUAACACGUGGAUAACCUGCCCUAAGGUGGAGGAUAACCCCGGGAAACUGGGGAUAAUACUCCAUAGAUUAGAGAUACUGGAAUGUUCUUUAGUCAAAAGUUCUGGCGCCUUAGGAUGGAUCUGCGGUCGAUUAGGUUGUUGUUGGGGUAACGGCCCAACAAGCCUGUAAUCGAUACGGGUUGUGGGAGCAAUAGCCCGGAGAUGGAAUCUGAGACAAGAUUCCAGGCCCUACGGGGCGCAGCAGGCGCGAAAACUUUACAAUGCAGGAAACUGUGAUAAGGGAACCCCGAGUGCCCGUAUACGCGGGCUGUCCAGGUGUUUAAAAGUCAUCUGAAGAAAGGGCCGGGCAAGACCGGUGCCAGCCGCCGCGGUAAUACCGGCGGCUCGAGUGGUGGCCACUAUUAUUGGGCUUAAAGCGUCCGUAGCUGGACUGAUAAGUCUCUUGGGAAAUCCGCCGGCUCAACCGGCGGGCGUCUAAGGGAUACUGUUGGUCUAGGGACCGGGAGAGGUGAGAGGUACUCCGGGGGUAGGAGUGAAAUCCUGUAAUCCCCGGGGGACCACCGAUGGCGAAGGCAUCUCACCAGAACGGCUCCGACAGUGAGGGACGAAAGCUGGGGGAGCAAACCGGAUUAGAUACCCGGGUAGUCCCAGCCGUAAACUAUGCGCGUUAGGUGUGCUGGUGACCACGUGUCACCGGGGUG